UUAGGCAUGGUCUAGUGGUUAGGAUACCUGGCUCUCAACAAGGAGGACCGGUUUCGUUUCCCGGUGUCGGAA